rnacentral:rRNA from 1 species
UGGGGGAUAUUGCACAAUGGGCGAAAGCCUGAUGCAGCGACGCCGCGUGGGGGAUGAAGGCCUUCGGGUUGUAAACUUCUUUUGCUCUGAACAAGGCAUGCCUUUGGGGUGUGUUGAGUGCAGGGGUUGAUUAGCGCCGGCUAACUACGUGCCAGCAGCCGCGGUAAUACGUAGGGCGCGAGCGUUGUCCGGAAUUAUUGGGCGUAAAGGGCUUGUAGGUGGCUGGUUGCGUCUGUCGUGAAAGCUCAUGGCUUAACUGUGGGUUUGCGGUGGGUACGGGCUGGCUUGAGUGCAGUAGGGGAAGCUGGAAUUCCUGGUGUAGCGGUGGAAUGCGCAGAUAUCAGGAGGAAUCCCGGUGGCGAAGGCGGGUCUCUGGGCUGUUACUGACGCUGAGGGGCGAAAGCGUGGGGAGCGAACAGG